AAUAAAGUGAUGACCAGAAAGAAGUAGCGGUUAAGAUUCUUACAGAGAGCUUUCGGUUGGUGGAAGGAAGCAGACGAAUACCCGUGAAUACAUUCUGAGAACUGCACACCCAAAGGCAAUUGCCCUGUAGGCUGUGACGGAUUCCAACCGUUAACGUGGAAAAGCGCUUUAUGUCGCUUGCUGAGGUUGAUGUGGACACAUCAAAGACAAGGUGGUACCGCGAAAUUAUUUUCGCCCCUGUU
rnacentral:ncRNA from 1 species